GAUGAACGCUGGCGGCGUGCCUAAUACAUGCAAGUCGAACGCGAAGCCUGUUUUCGGAUAUGCGGAGAGUGGCGCACGGGUGAGUAACACAUGGCUGACCUGCCCCUCAGAGGGGAACAACCGCUGGAAACGGUGGCUAAUACCCCAUACGCUCUUCGAGGUUAGAGGCUUGGAGAGGAAAGGCGAUAGUGCUGAGGGAGGGGGCUGUGGCCCAUCAGCUAGUUGGUAGGGUAAUGGCCUACCAAGGCGAGGACGGGUAGGGGGCCUGAGAGGGUGACCCCCCACAUGGGGCACUGAGAGACGGGCCCAACUCCUACGGGUGGCAG
rnacentral:rRNA from 1 species